GAUGAACGCUGGCGGCGUGCCUAAUACAUGCAAGUCGAGCGAACAGAUGAUGAGCUUGCUCCUCUCACGUUAGCGGCGGACGGGUGAGUAACACGUGUAUAACCUACCUAUCAGACUGGUAUAACUUCGGGAAACCGGAGCUAAUACCGGAUAAUAUAUUGAACCGCAUGGUUCAAUAGUGAGAGACGGUUUUGCUGUCUCUUAUAGAUGGAUCCGGGCGGUAUUAGCUAGUUGGUAAGGUAACGGCCUACCAAGGCAACGAUGCGUAGCCGACCUGAGAGGGGGGUCGGCGGCAUGGGAAGUGAGACAGGGACAAGACUCCUACGGGAGGGAGCAGUCGCGAAUCUGACGCAACGGGCGAAAGCAUGACGGAGCAAGCCCGAGCGAGAGAUGACGGCGUCCGGAGCGGAAAAAUCGGUUAUGAGGGAUGAACCAAUGUGUAAGGAAAUAAGCACGUAUUGACGGUACCUAAUAAGAAAGCAACGGCUAACUACGUG
rnacentral:rRNA from 1 species